GAAGCACUAGGCAAUACACAAACAACACGUAAUAAUGCUAAGGGUUUAUAUAGCUGAUUUGGAAGUUCAAAAAGCCACAUGGUGCAUCCAUAUAGUGAGAGUCACCAGAUUUAAAAGUCAUAUGCAGAUGCUCAGCUCCAACUACUGCAAUAGUAAAAGCUCAAAGCCAGCUACCGCAGCAGCCAAUUGCUUUGCUGCCAUACAAGCCAACAUCACAAAGACACUCCAAAAAAUUUUAAACCAGGAAAGGCACGGUAUAACAAGAAUGCUUGGAUUGCAAUUCGUGAGAAAAAAAAAACCAUUGGUAUUUCGACACAACUCAUAUAGCGCCUUGUUAAGGAGGCUUUCAGUUAGAUUCACAACUCUAGAGUAGGGAUUCCAGCUCCAAUUCCAGCUUAUCUCUAAUUCCGAGCAGCUGGCCCGUGUGUUUUCCACCUCACUCCUGCCAACUAUAUGGGAUGAAAAUUCAGAAUUUUUUUCUCAUACGCUAGGGUGAAAAAUUGCAUGAUUGUUUUCCCAUCAGCUCAAACAGAGUAUCAUAGCUAUAAUAUGUUCGGAAUAGAUGGAUUUUUUUGUUAA